CGCUCUGCUAGCUGCUGUAAGCACACGCGGUGCUCCCGGGGAACUUGGCGUUCAGCGACUUCUAACAACGUUUGUUGCCGUUGUUGUUGCCAUGAAGUGACGCGCUCUUUAACGAGUCGUCGCUUAUUAAAUGUUCGCGGUGGCGGCGACGCUUCGAGUGGCUCGUGUUGGCUCGCGCUCUGGAUCCGGCUGCGAGCCCUGGGUCUUCAGAGGCAGCUCCAUCGCCAGUUGGGAGCCAUGUCAGACGGCAGCUCACGGCCAGGAGUGUGCACAACCGUCAACAGAGCCAAGGCCACUUGGAAGAGUCUGAAAUAUGAAACCCGUUUCCUGUGACGCCGCACGUGUUCCAGCGACCUGCUGAGCUGAGCCUCCUGAAAAUUCCAGACCCAUCAUGGGGUGCAGCAGGUCCCUCUCACAAGUCUGAUGUCCACCAGAGUCCAGCAGCGCUGCUGGCCACCAACUCACUGACCUCAUCGUGGGCCUCUCCUCGGUGUCACCCCACGACAGACCAACCUUGGACCCUCAAAGUGCAGUUGCUCAAGAAAUACAGCCAAGGUAGCCCCUGUCAACGACCUCAGUCCAACUGGAAGUCAUGUAUUUGCAGCUGUGACGCCUCACUCCUGCUGGUCCAGUCAGUGUUGUGUCUGACAGCAGCUCCUGAAGUCAGGUCACCGUGGAAGCUGACCACUUGUGGCCUCAGGUAUCAAGUACCAGGAGGGUGACUUCAGCCAGAUGCACCCAGGGAGUCACUGGUGAACCACAGAGCUCAUGCUGUGUGUAGAACAGUGGCAGGAUCCACUGAGCGUCAGUGGGACAGAAGCAGAUCGACCAGCUGGGAGACACGUGUCCUGCAAGAGACAGAAUCAAUCAUCAGAGGCUUGAAGAGCUGCAAAAUCAAGAUGUGAUUCAACUUGCAAAGAAACUCACCUGAAGCUGCAGAUCCUCACACUUGUGUCCAAUGAGCAAAUGUCUGUCAAUAAAAACAUGAUAAAAC